CGGGAUGGAGCAGCCCGGUAGCUCGUCAGGCUCAUAACCUGAAGGUCGUUGGUUCAAAUCCAACUCCCGCAACCAAGUCU
rnacentral:tRNA from 1 species